rnacentral:rRNA from 1 species
ACAUCCAGAGAACUUAGCAGAGAUGCUUUGGUGCCUUCGGGAACUCUGAGACAGGUGCUGCAUGGCUGUCGUCAGCUCGUGUUGUGAAAUGUUGGGUUAAGUCCCGCAACGAGCGCAACCCCUAUCCUUUGUUGCCAGCGAUUCGGUCGGGAACUCAAAGGAGACUGCCGGUGAUAAACCGGAGGAAGGUGGGGAUGACGUCAAGUCAUCGUGGCCCUUACGAGUAGGGCUACACACGUGCUACAAUGGCGCAUACAAAGAGAAGCGACCUCGCGAGAGCAAGCGGACCUCAUAAAGUGCGUCGUAGUCCGGAUUGGAGUCUGCAACUCGACUCCAUGAAGUCGGAAUCGCUAGUAAUCGUAGAUCAGAAUGCUACGGUGAAUACGUUCCCGGGCCUUGUACACACCGCCCGUCACACCAUGGGAGUGGGUUGCAAAAGAAGUAGAUAGCUUAACCUUCGGGAGGGCGUUUACCACUUUGUGAUUCAUGACUGGGGUGAAGUCGUAACAAGGUAGGCGUAGCGAG